ensembl:lncRNA
GAAAUUUGGUCUACGCGAAGACGUGAUUUCAACGUAUUUAAUAUUUCACUUAAAACGUCAUAAAUAUGAAACUACGGACUGCGUGCUGUUAAUAAGAUGCGUUUAAGACAUAAUAAUGCGGGCAGGUUCAAACAUUACUUGUAAACACGUGACUCCGCUCACAUCUGUAACGCGCAUGCGCGAGUUCUUAGACGCCUGCAGAGCUCCGAGCGGACGAGGCGAAGUUACGGCAGCGGAGCGACAUGAACGGGCUGAUAGAACCACGACUACCGGCUCCACUACUCUGUUUCUGCGGGUGGUGGUUGCAUCUGAUGGAGGUUAAGGAAGGAAGAUCAGAUGGACAAACAUAUCGCAUCAGGCAGGAGGGAGGAGGGGGAACGGGUGGGACUUGAACUUUAGUCAUUGAACUCAAGUUUCCAGCACUCUUAUAUAAGAGAUUUGACCGGAGCUGUUUGAGAAAUUAUUUUUAAAACUGCUGAAAAUACAGGAAGUGGGGAAGCUGAAUUUCAAUAGGUUUUCUAAAAAAUACAGAAGUUGCAGGAGCUUAAUUGGAUUUUAAAAAGUACAGAAAUAACAAAACCUGAGAUGAAUAAAAAGAGGUUUAAAAUUGUAGUAAUAUUAGUAGUAUUAGUUAUAGUUGUAAUUGUGGUAUUAGUUGUACUAGCAGUAGAAGCAGCAAUAGUAGGUUUAGUAUCAAUAGCAGUAGAAACAGUUGUAAUACUAACACUAUUAGCCAUAGUAGUAUUUGUAAUAACAUUAGUAGUAGUUGUAGUAUUAAUAGCAGUAGAACUACUAGUAGUAUGGUAGUAGAAGUAUCAGUUGUAGUACUAGUAAUAUUCGUAGUGGUUGUAGUAUUUGAAAGAGCAAUACGUAUUGUCUGUCUAUUUCUCCUCCCCUCUCUCUCCCUCUAUCUCAUCCUCACCACCCCUCCCUUCCUCACCCUCUCACCCUCCCUCCCUCUAUCUACACCCCCCCCACCCCACCCAAUCCAAUAGGUAUGCCGUUGCCGUGGAAACUCACACACACACGCUGCAGUAUCUCUGUGACUCACAGCGGCUCCUAUGACCUGAUUAGUGGAGUCACAUGACGCAGCUAUGCUUUCUGUCAACAGACCAAUAUGAUAAAGACACUCGCCCCCCCUCCCCCCUCCACCCUGACCUCUACUCACUGUUAAUCACUCACUCAGUCAGUCUGUCUAUUUCUCCUCCUCUCUCUCUCUCCCUCUAUCUCUUCAUUACCACCCCUCCCUUCCUCACCCUCUCACCCUCCCUCCGUCUAUCUACACCCCCCUACACCACCCAAUCCAAUAAUUUUAAAAUAAAAGCCCCAUGGAGGGAAUUUUUACUGUAAUGUUUGUGAUUAGGCCUAUUAAUUAAAAACGUCAUAGUUUGAAUAACAAACAUUCUGUCUCCCAACCCCCCGUCACCCAAUUCCAUCAUUACAAAAUAAAAGCCUCAAUGAUUAUCUGUACCUUAACCAUGAAGCUCAGAAUGAAGCGGUUUCGUUGCUCUUUCAAUUACUACUACAACCACUAUGAAUAUUACUAGUACUUCUAGUAGUACUACUACAACUGAUACUUCUACCAUACUACUAGUAUUUCUACUGCUAUUAAUACUACAACUACUACUAAUGUUAUUACAAAUACCACUAUGGCUAAUAGUGUUAGUAUUACAGCUGUUUCUACUGCUAUUGAUACUAAACCUACUAUUACUUCUUCUACUGCUAGAACUACGAAUACCACAAAUUAAAACUGUAACUAAUAACACUACUAAUAUUACUACAAACAAUUUAAAACCUCUUUUUAUUCAUUUUAGGUUUUGUUAUUUCUGUCCUUUUUAAAAUUCAUUUAAGCUCCUGCAACUUCUGUAUUUUAUAGAAAAUCUAUUGAAAUUCAUCUUCCACACUUCCUGUAUUUUCAGCAUUUCUUUAAAAUAAUUUCAGCUUUUCUAAUGACUGUAUUAACAGCAAGGUUUUAAUAUUCAUUUCGGUAUUUAUUUUGCAAUAUCUCACAUUCAUUUCAGCUGUUUUCAUUUCUACUUUUUCAGUAAAUCUAUUGAAAUUCCUUUCAUCUUCUCCCAUUUCUGUAUUUUCAGCAAUUUCAAAUUAAUUUCAUCUUUUCUAAUAUCUGUAAUUUCAGUAGAUGUAUUCAAAUUCCCUUCAACUUUCUGUAUUUUCAGCUAUUUUUAAAUAUUCAUUUCAGCUUUCAGCUUUUUGCAUUCCAACGCAUUUUCAGCAGGAAAUGCAUUUUCUAGUUAAAUUAUACAUUUAUGUAAAAUGUAAGAGCUCAAAAGAUUACGGCAAUUCAUUUGAUGAUCAUACCGUUUAAUGUCUUUCCAAUUUUAAUCUUCAGACUUUCAGUAUUUCUUUACCUUAUUUGAUAAUGUUGUAAUAUAAUAAUGUGAGUAUUUAUGACAUUUGAUGACAGUUUCCAGUCAUUUAUAAACCAAAAAGUAAACCCCUUUAAUGAGAAAAUAAUUGUGUUGAAUCAUAACCGCUGGUUACAUCUUAAAUAAAAGGAAGCACACUGAAUUAGUUUUCCUCAUAACAGCAUCAUAAGAGAAUGCAAAGUAAUUUAGCUUUAAAGGGAUAUUUUAUAUUUCUUCAGGAGGGGUUGUGUUACCAAUAAAGGUUGCGAUAUAUGUUUAGAUUUCAGACAUGAAUGAGGUUACAUUUUUUUAAAUAAACUGUGUACUAUACAUACAAGCAUUCAACUGCUGACAUAUCUGUGUCAUAAAAUACAGUACAGCUCAUACAAUGCUUGAAGGAGUUUUGUCUGUUCUGCCACGUUGGUUUUUAACAGGAUUGCCAACAACUGCAGCAAAUGCUAAUGUCUACCUGCUGAUUUUAUCCUAUUCUCAUCAUAAUGAACACAGUGUGUGGAGACGGCGAGACAAAUGAUGAGCUCCGCUGCUAAACACAACACGUCUCAGGGAGAGACACAACAUAUCAAGCCAACAUGUUGGGCAACCCCAUUAGUGAAUGAAUAACUCAUUUAGACACUGAAUGAUCAGAACAAUUUAUUGACCUGACGGGGUUAAAAAACAAAUAAACAGAAUGUUGGUGAGAAGCCAUGAUUCCAUUAACAUGCAGGAGUCGAUACACGCAUGCAAGACAACUGGGGCUUAUCUUAAUAAAACAGCUGCUUUUUUAAUUUCCUGCCUCCGAAAUUCUGUGCAAAAAGUGAAAGACUCAGUUUAUGAACAGAAAAUGAGAUCAUGUUUUUCUCCAUACAGUGUGACACGCCUUUCCAGCUAUUUCAUUUAGGGUAAUUUACAACUAAUCAGUCUUAGAAAUAAUAAGCAUUUUUGCAAUCAAGCAUUCAUUUUUAUAUACUGUCAUGAAAACAAUGUGGUUUUUUUUUGGUGCGUUUUACACAGAAAAUGAAAAUAGUUGCUCAAAUAUUAGAGUUGGAAAUGGCAUUUGUCACAUUUAUUCUUCAGACUACUGACUGUAUAUAGUGUUUGAUUUGUCUAUGUUAGUAAACCUUUUCUUCUCCCUCACAGCUCUAUUAGCAGCUUUCAGUGAAGUAUCAUUCUAAUAGAAAUAUUAAGGAAUUCUCUAUAACUUCCUAUCAGAACCGUUGUUUCCACUCCGUUUCAACUCUUAUCCAUAAAAUGACCCUCCACACUAACAGAAAGCAUUAACCAGCAGCAAGCACUAACAAGCAUAGACAAAAUGUUGACUGAUUUACAGUCUGCUAUUUGUAUCAAGGGCAUUUUGUCAGCCAGUCAGAAUUCUUCACAUCUUUUUUGAGGCGGUUGAGCAACCAGAGUCCUGCAGUGUUGUCCUGUGUGCACAGCUGCAGGUCAUGCCCUUCCUUUUGUCCCAUCUUGUCACAAUAGCUUCAGAGGAAAGUUUUUUGUCGUCUGCAGCGAAAUUAUCGGCUGCCCCGGAAUCACUUUGCAGCCGUCACGCUCUGCUGAUGGGGAGAAACGGGGAUCGGGCUGAUUCUUUGAGCUGCAGAACCUGAUGCACGGACUGUUGCAUCAUAUGAACACACUUUCAAAAACACCACACUGCUAAAAUGUAAUUCGACGCAAUCUGAAAUUGAUUUCUAACCAGUAAAUCUUCAGCGUUAUACAACUCUUUGUCUGCAAGUUUUUCAUCGUUUUAUUUUAGCCCUGAGUGCUUCUACCCUACCUCCCUCCCUCAAUUACUUAAACCAAACCCAUUGACUGCCCCUACAACUCGCUCAACUCGCUCCAUUUCACAUUUUAAUACGCUAUUUCCUUUCAAAUCUCCAUUAUUUCGAGCAAAGGUGAUCUUUAUUGCACUAGAAACUUUAGAGUCAUUAAUUCUGUUCUAUUUCUGUGAAGUGAAGUAUUUCCUUUGCAACGUAAAGUGGCGGUCCUAUUUUAGUUUUAAACAAUUUUUACAGGUCAUGCGCUCGGUAGAAUUUUAAAACAAUCUCUCCAAGAGCGUAAUUGUAUCCUCGGCGGGUGGAGGGAAAUUAAUUUGCAAGUGUAAGGCAAUAGAAAAAGAUGAUUUCCAUGCUGAAAUAUUUAUAGUCUCCUUAAAACUGUUGGAGAGUGGAACUCGAUGGAGGCUGAAGGAACAGAUGAAUCCGAAACUCAUUAAGAUGUUAUGCUAUCUCCUCUUAAAUGAUCCAAAACAUUUGCAAACGCUUGUCGUAUUGUCACCCGAGACGGUAGAGCCGCAGCGCUAUUAAAUGUCACACGUGUUUGUAUCCCCGUGCAGCCUUGUAGUCCCCUUUAUCUGUGUGAAGUGUUUCAUUAUUGAGCUUUGGAAAUGUCAGGGCUUUGGGUUCAGAUUGAAGAGCCCGCGGACGUCUAAUUACACCACCCCGGGGCUAAAUUAUGCUGUUAUUGAUCCUAAUAUGUAAAUGAUCCUGUAAUUUCUCUGUCUCGUUUGUAGCAGCAGCAGCAGGUUAAUUGGAUCAGACCCUGUAAAGGGGAGGAAAAAAAAGGAAAACAUUGGUGCUGAACGAGCUGUGAAGAUAUGACGUGUCAGGCCUCAGCUCGAGAAUUGUGCCUCAUGUGCAACGGUGUUAUUUAGCAGUUGACUGGCCGUGGACCUGUACAUUCCUCGUGGCUGUAACGGCCUCUGUUGUUU